GACGAACGCUGGCGGCGUGCUUAACACAUGCAAGUCGAACGGUAAGGCCCUUCGGGGUACACGAGUGGCGAACGGGUGAGUAACACGUGGGUGAUCUGCCCUGCACUUCGGGAUAAGCCUGGGAAACUGGGUCUAAUACCGGAUAGGACCACUGCCUGCAUGGGUGGUGGUGGAAAGCUUUUGCGGUGUGGGAUGGGCCCGCGGCCUAUCAGCUUGUUGGUGGGGUGAUGGCCUACCAAGGCGACGACGGGUAGCCGGCCUGAGAGGGUGACCGGCCACACGGGGACUGAGAUACGGCCCAGACUGCUACGGGAGGCAGCAGUGGGGAAUAUUGCACAAUGGGCGCAAGCCUGAUGCAGCGACGCCGCGUGAGGGAUGACGGCCUUCGGGUUGUAAACCUCUUUCAGCACCGACGAAGCGCAAGUGACGGUAGGUGCAGAAGAAGGACCGGCCAACUACGUGCCAGCCGCCGCAGUAA
rnacentral:rRNA from 1 species